rnacentral:lncRNA from 10 species
GAUGGCUCUUCCAGCCGGGCGGCCGCCGUCACACUGCAGAGCGUAUUUAAAGAGACACCUCGCUCCGCGCUCGCUCCCCAGCACCAGACCCUCGCCCGAAAACGCCGCCGGGCGGACUGCACGACCCUGUGUUAUUCCCAAAGACAAUCUCCAUCCGUGGAGAAGCUGCAGGAACAGAAAUAUACACAAGAAAAUGGAUUUGGAAGGAAUUUUCCAUCCUUUAUUUAACAUUCUCAAGUCCAGAUAUGCCAGAACCGAGGUGCACCUGUCGUGAACCCGUCUGAGUAAGUCUCCGGGCGCUGUGUGGCAGGAUGAGGAGCUGCCCCCCUGGAGGAUCACGCAGGCCUCUGGGUGGCAUUCAGCAGGGUUGGCUGCGGCACCGGCUGACCACAGGGCCCACCUUUCCAGUCCCGGCAGGAGAGAAGCGUCUCAACCAUGUUGCAGGCACACGGGUGAGGGUGCUGCCUGCCUCCCUGACUCUUACCUCCCCAAGAGAGGAAAACAAAAGAAAAAAAGAUAAGACCAGGAAAUGGAAAUAAGACAAAGAAGAAUGAAAUUUUAAAAUCCGAACAAACCCAAACAUGCUGUUUCAAAACGUAAGUCCAUGAAGAGUCUCGUGGUGAGAAAGACAGAAUUCCUAGCCAGGAAAAUGCCCCGUGCUUGCCCCUUGGAGGCAGGUGCUCACCACGGCAGGGUCUAUCUAGGUGUUUAUUAAGGUGUCUCACCACGUAUCGCCCGGAUUCACCAGAGAUGCAGAGGCGGAGGAUACGUUCCUGUUUACAUUGAUACAUAGUUACAUAGGUGAAGAGCUUUACAGUGAGGAAGCGGCUCACGCGGCCAUGAGGGACCCAGGCAGGAGCUGCUGUUGCUGCCCCAGCAACUCCACGAGUGCUCGAUGGGAAACUGCAGACAGCAGCCUUGCCAAGCGGAUGCCCAGGGCCGACCACCGCAGCCCCUCCAGCCACGUUCUCCAUCAGGGCAGCCUCCUGCUGGCUUCGGCACUGCAGGUAGCACACCAGCGAGGGGUGGGCCUGUGUGCCACGAAGCGUCAUCCAUGGACGUGCCACGAAGGGUUAUUCUUCUUUUGACUUUUUCUGAUGGUUUAAAACUGUAAGAACACACAGCUCACAGUCCACACGGAAGCAGGCAUGUGGCUCCUGCCUCACUGUGGGAGGAAAGAUGUUCUCAAAAGAAAUGGCUGGGUUUGCGGAGGGGUUUGUGGAGGGCCGGGCAGUCUGAACACAGCCCAGCUGGCCUUGGUGGAGGUGGGCCUGGCACAGGGGGGUGGGAGCAGUUCUUCCUGACGCAAAUCCUAACGCCUUCAACACUGACCUUCCAAAGAAACAGCUGCUGGACGCCGCCCGACAGCAACGAGAGCCCCACUCCUGAGGCGCGCGACUCUCGAGGGCUUUGUUGUUUAUUUGGCACCCGAGGCCCAGGCUCACAGGGUCUCGGGUGCAUGGGACCCCCCAGCCCUUCCCACUGCUCUGCGAUUCUUCCUCCCUUCUGGAAAGGUCAGUUUGGGGUUCUAUUCUGGGAGGGGCCAGGCCGCCACCUGGCCUCAUUAACUGGGCAGGCCACUGGGACCUCCUCCGAAAUGCUGGGGCCAUGGCCGAAGACUUGCCUCCCGCCAGGAGCCUUCAGCCCUCUUAGUAGUGGAUGUGGGCUUCCUCCCUCUGAGGGGACGUCCUGAUGGACACGAGAUGUGGGGCGCCCGUGGGUGGCCGCCUGCUCCUGCCACAGUCCCCCUUGGGGCCUGAGCUGCGGCUGCUGCCUCCGUAGGGAAGGAACAAUGGGGGAUGGGCCCGCCCCUACCCAGAGAGAGUGGGCCGUGUUGCCUGCAAGGCCUCAGCCAGGGGACCACGUUUCUCUGCAUCUUGUGGCUUUGGGUUCUGCAGGCUGUUUGUGGGAGAACGGGAAACAGUCCCAGAGAUGACGCUGCCUCAUGCAGGUUAACAGAGUUGGAGGUCAGGCCGACGCCUGAGGCUCAGGACGCUGAUGGGUGCCUUCCCUCGCCAGGGGUGAGCCCCCAGCCCCGUCUUCCCUCGCCAGGCCAUUUGGUGGAGACUCUGAGAGCCUGAACUUAGAAGCCCGCCGAGAGGGGAAAUGGCGGCCUCCGGGGAGCGGGCAGCCUGGCCGCAGAGCGCGCGGGACCCAGGGCCACCGUCCUCCCGAGACAGCGGCAGCAGCCGCCACUCACCGUGCGGAAUUAAAAACGGCUCUCUGGUUGCCACGGCAACCAGCCGUCUCCCCCCAGCGUCAGUUUGAAUUUGUGCAGACCAUUCCUAGCCAAGAUUCAAGCCAACAGAUUCGUGCUUACCCUGAGGUGAAGCCUCGUUUGAGAACCAAAUAAUAAAAUUAACAAACCUAAAAUCUCCUCACUGCUGCCGCCUCUUUAAUAAGCACUCAGCAGAGCCCCCGAGAGGACACAGGGCCAGCACAGUCUCCCUCCUCUGAGGCGGGAGGCCCCCGGGG